UGAAUAGUAGAACUUUGACAUUUUCAGUUUAACAAAUCUGUGCUUCAGAAAGGGCAGAAAAUGAAAAUGAAAUAUAUUUAGAAUGACAAUAAACAGAGUUAUUUCACUUAAAGUAUUGUUUGAAAAUUUUUAAAUGAAAAGUUCAAGAGAAUUUCAACAUAAUUCCUUCCUUGUCAUAGAAUUUUUUUACCAAUUUAUGCUGAAGUUUUAGCUGCAUCUCCAACCAAAGUACGUCAUCAUUACCGUGAUGAACAGACCCAAGUUACUCAUCAGGUUUCUUCUUUCCCCUGUCCGUCCAGGUGAAAAGAUGGAGAAAAUGGCUGUGGAAGCCAGAAGAGUCUUAAAACCAAGGUUCUAUCUAUACUGUGUGAUGAAGAACAGUACAGAAAUUCUCCAUCUAGCUACUGUGAGGAGCAGUGGAUGCACAAGGAGAUGGGAGGAGGCAUAACCAGGACAGCUCAACCCAGCUAACUAAAGGGAUAUUCCAUACCACACGAUGUCAUGAUGUUCUGCAAUAAAAGCUGUGUUGAAGAAGGAUGAAGGGAGAGAUGUUAGGAGUGAUGGCACUUGUUUUCCCAGAAUGCCUGUCUACUGUUCUAUGAAAAUUACAACUGAAUAUUACACCCGAAUAAAGGAUAGAGAUGCCUUCUGAAACAACAGA